GACGAACGCUGGCGGCGUGCUUAACACAUGCAAGUCGAACGGUAAGGCCCUUCGGGGUACACGAGUGGCGAACGGGUGAGUAACACGUGGGUUAUCUGCCCUGCGCUCCGGGAUAAGCCUGGGAAACUGGGUCUAAUACCGGAUAGGACCACCGCCUGCACGGGGGGUGGUGGAAAGUUUUUGCGGUGUGGGAUGGGUCCGCGGCCGAUCAGCUUGUUGGUGGGGUGAUGGCCUACCAAGGCGACGACGGGUAGCCGGCCGGAGAGGGUGCCCGGCCACACUGGGACUGAGAUACGGCCCAGACUCCUACGGGAGGCAGCAGUGGGGAAUAUUGCACAAUGGGCGCAAGCCUGAUGCAGCGACGCCGCGUGAGGGAUGACGGCCUUCGGGUUGUAAACCUCUUUCAGCACCGACGAAGCGCAAGUGACGGUAGGUGCAGAAGAAGGACCGGCCAACUACGUGCCAGCCGCCGCCGUAA
rnacentral:rRNA from 1 species